ensembl:lncRNA
GGGACUGUGGCCCCUCGAUGAGAGCAUCAUUAUUAUGACUCUGUCAAAAUGGCCCCGUCAUACUGGCUCUUUUCAGAAGAUGGGCUGUCUGACACAAAUGACCCGCUUUCUAAACACGCAGGCAUGCAUGUACACUCGCACACAGGUACACACACACACACACACACACACACAGGUAGACACGCACACAGGUACACACACACACAGGUACACACACACACACAGGUACACACACACACACACACAGGUACACACACACGCACACACACACACAUAUUCUUGUACAGCUAACUUUGCGGGGACACACAAUUCAGUCCCAUUCAAUAUCCUAAUUUCCCUAACCCUAACCCUCACUCUUACCAUAACCAUAACCCUAACCUUAACCCAAAGAC